GGGAGGCGUGCCAGAGCGGCCGAAUGGGACUCACUGCUAAUGAGUUGUCCCCUUUACGGGGGACCGGAGGUUCAAAUCCUCUCGCCUCCGCAACGGCCGGGCUUGCUCGACCGACAACUGAAGACCGGCGCCCGUAGCUCAACGGAUAGAGCAUCUGACUACGGAUCAGAAGGUUGGGGGUUCGAAUCCCUUCGGGCGCACUGUGGAUACAGAAAAGCUCCGGCUCAGGCCGGGGCUUUUUCUGUUUUCUGGGUCCGGACAACCCCACCCCAUGCACAAUUAGGUUAGCCUUACCUACUGACGGGGUGGUGCGUUUGGGUUGCCGCCCGUGGUUGACAAGGACGGCGGUGAAACGCCGUAGGAGGUAACCGGCUAUGGCUGCGCGUGUUGGGUUGGGCGAUCUCGAACGCACCGUCAUGGAGUGCCUGUGGUCGGCGUCGGGUUCGUUGACCGUCCGUGAGGUGCACUCAUCGGUGUCGGUCAAGCGAAACCUCGCCUAUACGACGAUCAUGACUGUGCUGCAACGCCUUGCGAAGAAGAACCUGGUGAUCCAGCGCCGUGACCAUCGCGCGCACCGCUAUGUGCCCAGGCGUGGCCGUGCCGAGUUGGUCGCUGAGCUCAUGUCCGAUGCGCUCGAUCAGGUGGCCGAUUCC
rnacentral:tRNA from 1 species